AUCAGCUCACAUCGUCACAAGAAGAGAGGCGCAUACAGUGCAAUAAGACAGUUCGAGAGCAAAAUUGGCUUAACGGAGAAGGCCUGGUCCUGACCACCACAAGCUCCUUGGUUUUAUUGCUGUCUGUCACAGAUUGGUGACUUGAAUUCAAGAGAAAAACUCAGACCCUGAGGCAACAUUCUCCAUCCCAAUCUCAAUAAAGCUAGGUGCCUGGAAGUCAAUACUUCGCAGCCCUCUUGAAGUGUGGCUGCCAGAGACGCUCAGGGCUGAAAAAGAGACUCUGUGCUUGCAGGAGAGAGGAUUGAUUAGUCUUGUCUGCAGUGGAUGCAGGAGAUGAGAUGCUACUAGACUCAGGACACCCAGACUCCUGGUGUCUGUCUCUCGAUUUGUACAUCUUUAACAUCGAUAGGUGCCUUCUCCAGCCAAAAGAGGAGCUCCAGAAGUGGAAACUGAGUCCCAAGGAGAUUAAAUAACUUACCUGUGUCACACAGACACAAAUGGAGUGUCCAAGACGGAAACAUUGCCUCGCACUGGUUCUAACUACAGACAAGGAGUUGUCGGAUGAUACAUACCAUGCCAUCUAAAGGAAAUUCUGGCCUUUUCUUGGGCUAGAGCCUAAAUGUUUCUGGGUCAUGCUCGCAACUGUUCCUAUGCAUCAAUCAUCGGGGUUUCCAUUGUGCCACGACUCUUUUCCCCUGGCCUGAGGAAUCUCAGCCAUUCAUCAAUUUGACAAACAUUAUAAAUUCCUACUUUAUUCCAGGUACUGUGUUAAAUAAUAAGCAUACAGUGCUUAACAAAAUUGAUAUGUGUAU